CUGGUGGAGUGGAGCGGCUCGUGGUGAAGGCUGCAGCGGAACCCUGUCGGCCUCGGAUCACGGACACAAGGGACCGAGACAACACCAGGAAAACGACUGGAUCAGGAAUCACCAAGAGCUGAUGCCACCGGGGCUCAAAAUGGACGGGACAGUGACGAGGACCACAACAACGCAGGAGCGGGAUCAAGAUCAAUGUAAGGAGGAGAUCACGGGGAAAGAAGAGCAAGAUGUAAAAUAUGAAUAUACUGAGCCAUAUGUUCCCUUCUGCUUCUGCAAGUGAAAGAGAGCGAACAGCUGCAGAUCCUGACAAGAGGAUGGAUGCAGAGCAGGGAAUGUCAGCUCUAUGGCCUGCUUUCAAUGGUGACCCAGAAGCACCUCCUUAACCCUGUCAGCAUUAAUUUAUGCCAAUUCCACCGCUGUGACAUGACGCCCCCCUCGCUCCUAUGAAGAGUUUCCAGGACAUCAAAAGGCAGAAAAUCUCCUCUGACACUGCUGUCAUUCUUGCCAGAUCUGCUUGUGGUUCCCUUUAAAUGAAUUUGCCAGGGCAGAGAGCAGGGAACAGGCAGCAAUGCUUGCUACUGAAGAUCAUCAUCUUCUACACGAUUUUCAUUAGGCGCUUAAUUUUUGCCCUGGCAUCCCAAGGAGCUGUAGGGAUGCAGAGCAAUAGACUCUGACUUGAGAAGAUUUGCAGCUGGUCAAGGAGAUCUGGAAAAAAGCUGCCUUUUGCAGCCAUAGAUACUUGCAGCAGAGUGAAGAGGGGUAUGCACUCCUGAGGAUACUAAUAUUGUGCAUUAUUGUGUAACGGGGGUGUAUAUUUCUUCCUGACCGCAGCUGAUGAUUAACUUUUUGCCCUGAAACAUGGUGAUUCCUAAUCCUUAUUAGUUUUACUUUAACUUGUGAUGGUUUUGUGUUUUUUGUUUUUGUUUUGUAAUGUGGACACCAAUCCAUUACGAAGUGAACUAAGUCCAUUCACGUUGGCCACCAAACUGUAGCUUUUCUAACGUGCUGAGAUCUACAAUGAUUUGACUUCCCCACGUUUAUUUGAGUUUUUUUAAUUAAAAGUCUUUGCCUUUGUGCUCUGAUUCUACUGAAUACGAAAAAAGGCUCUGGGGGCUUGAUUCUUAUUUACAUGAAGGGCCCUAUACAACAUUCUGGCAGUAU